UAUUUUAAUGGCCGCGGUAAUUUGACCGUGCAAAGGUAGCAUAAUCAUUAGUCUAUUAAUUGUAGACUUGUAUGAAUGGUUGGACGAGGUAUUGACUGUCUCAUUAUUAUUAUUGAAAUUUAAACUUUAAGUUAAAAUGCUUAAAUUUUCUUAUUGGACGAGAAGACCCUAUAGAUCUUUAUUUUUGAUUAUUUUAUAAUUUUUGGUUAUAUAUGUAUUAUAUUUUAAUUAAAUAUUUUGUUGGGGUGACAUAAGGAUAAUAUUAACUCCUUAUUUUUUUAUACAUUUAUUUUUGGUUAAAUGACCUUGUAUUAUUGUUAUAAGAUUAGAUACCUUAGGGAUAACAGCGUAAUUUUUCUUGAGAGUUCAUAUCGACAGAAGAUAUUGCGACCUCGAUGUUGGAUUAAGAYUAUAAUUAGGUGUAGGUACUUAAUAUAUAGGUCUGUUCGACCUUUAAAUUCUUACAUGAUCUGAGUUCAAACCGGAGA
rnacentral:rRNA from 1 species